rnacentral:rRNA from 1 species
GCAUAUCAAUAAGCGGAGGAAAAGAAACCAACAGGGAUUGCCUCAGUAACGGCGAGUGAAGCGGCAACAGCUCAAAUUUGAAAGCUGCCAACAGGCCGCAUUUGUAAUUUGUAGAAGAUGCUUUGGGUGUCGGUCCAGUCUAAGUUCCUUGGAACAGGACGUCAUAGAGGGUGAGAAUCCCGUAUGUGAUUGGUGCCGGUACCCGUGUAAAGCUCUUUCGACGAGUCGAGUUGUUUGGGAAUGCAGCUCAAAAUGGGUGGUAAAUUUCAUCUAAAGCUAAAUAUUGGCCAGAGACCGAUAGCGCACAAGUAGAGUGAUCGAAAGAUGAAAAGCACUUUGGAAAGAGAGUUAAACAGUACGUGAAAUUGUUGAAAGGGAAGCGCUUGCAACCAGACUUGCGGGCGGUCGAUCAUCCGAGGUUCUCCCCGGUGCACUCGAUCGUUCUCAGGCCAGCAUCGGUUUCGGUGGUGGGAUAAAGGCUGUGGGAAUGUGGCCCUUCGGGGUGUUAUAGCCCACGGUGCAAUGCCGCCUACCGGGACCGAGGACCGCGCUUCGGCUAGGAUGCUGGCGUAAUGGUUGUAAGCGACCCGUCUUGAAACACGGACCAAGGAGUCUAACAUCUAUGCGAGUGUUUGGGUGUCAAACCCAUACGCGUAAUGAAAGUGAACGGAGGUAAGAGCCCUUUAGGGUGCAUUAUCGACCGAUCCUGAUGUCUUCGGAUGGAUUUGAGUAAGAGCAUAGCUGUUGGGACCCGAAAGAUGGUGAACUAUGCGUGAAUAGGGUGAAGCCAGAGGAAACUCUGGUGGAGGCUCGCAGCGGUUCUGACGUGCAAAUCGAUCGUCAAAUUUGCGUAUAGGGGGCGAAAGACUAAUCGAACCAUCUAGUAGCUGGGUUCCUGCCGA